rnacentral:rRNA from 1 species
GAUGAACGCUGGCGGCGUGCCUAAUACAUGCAAGUCGAGCGAACGGACGAGAAGCUUGCUUCUCUGAUGUUAGCGGCGGACGGGUGAGUAACACGUGGAUAACCUACCUAUAAGACUGGGAUAACUUCGGGAAACCGGAGCUAAUACCGGAUAAUAUUUUGAACCGCAUGGUUCAAAAGUGAAAGACGGUCUUGCUGUCACUUAUAGAUGGAUCCGCGCUGCAUUAGCUAGUUGGUAAGGUAACGGCUUACCAAGGCAACGAUGCAUAGCCGACCUGAGAGGGUGAUCGGCCACACUGGAACUGAGACACGGUCCAGACUCCUACGGGAGGCAGCAGUAGGGAAUCUUCCGCAAUGGGCGAAAGCCUGACGGAGCAACGCCGCGUGAGUGAUGAAGGUCUUCGGAUCGUAAAACUCUGUUAUUAGGGAAGAACAUAUGUGUAAGUAACUGUGCACAUCUUGACGGUACCUAAUCAGAAAGCCACGGCUAACUACGUGCCAGCAGCCGCGGUAAUACGUAGGUGGCAAGCGUUAUCCGGAAUUAUUGGGCGUAAAGCGCGCGUAGGCGGUUUUUUAGUCUGAUGUGAAAGCCCACGGCUCAACCGUGGAGGGUCAUUGGAAACUGGAAAACUUGAGUGCAGAAGAGGAAAGUGGAAUUCCAUGUGUAGCGGUGAAAUGCGCAGAGAUAUGGAGGAACACCAGUGGCGAAGGCGACUUUCUGGUCUGUAACUGACACUGAUGUGCGAAAGCGUGGGGAUCAAACAGGAUUAGAUACCCUGGUAGUCCACGCCGUAAACGAUGAGUGCUAAGUGUUAGGGGGUUUCCGCCCCUUAGUGCUGCAGCUAACGCAUUAAGCACUCCGCCUGGGGAGUACGACCGCAAGGUUGAAACUCAAAGGAAUUGACGGGGACCCGCACAAGCGGUGGAGCAUGUGGUUUAAUUCGAAGCAACGCGAAGAACCUUACCAAAUCUUGACAUCCUUUGACAACUCUAGAGAUAGAGCUUUCCCCUUCGGGGGACAAAGUGACAGGUGGUGCAUGGUUGUCGUCAGCUCGUGUCGUGAGAUGUUGGGUUAAGUCCCGCAACGAGCGCAACCCUUAAGCUUAGUUGCCAUCAUUAAGUUGGGCACUCUAAGUUGACUGCCGGUGACAAACCGGAGGAAGGUGGGGAUGACGUCAAAUCAUCAUGCCCCUUAUGAUUUGGGCUACACACGUGCUACAAUGGACAAUACAAAGGGCAGCGAAACCGUGAGGUCAAGCAAAUCCCAUAAAGUUGUUCUCAGUUCGGAUUGUAGUCUGCAACUCGACUACAUGAAGCUGGAAUCGCUAGUAAUCGUAGAUCAGCAUGCUACGGUGAAUACGUUCCCGGGUCU